AACAAGGUAAGUACAACUUUUACAGCAGAGAAGUGGAGGGCUCCUUUGUCAUUUUCAGCUUGCUGGCUGAGACCUUUGCAGCUGAAGGCUUUGUGUAAUUGCUCCAACCUUACAAAGAAAACAUCUGGAUCAUUUGCUAUGGAAGUGCUAUCGUUCCUUGGUUGAGCUGACUCCUCAAUUCCAAACUAUGAAGAGGCAAAGAGCCCCAUAAUAAGCACUGGACAUUAUCAGGAGAGUUCUGUCAAGGAACUGUCAGUUUGAAAUACCUCCUAACCUCAGAAGCUAUAGCAGAGGUCAGAUAUCCUCCUCCUCACAUUGGGACUUUAAAUCCUUGGAGUCUAUGGUGAUCAGAUCCUGGAGCUAAUCUCAUGCUUUUACAUACAUAUAUGUGAGAAGUGUGCAUACUCAUCUGUGGGAAGGAGUUUUGGGGGGAUGCUGAGGGAAAAUAAGUAGCUUCAGAAACUUUCUGCAUUUCCAUUUGAGAUAAGGAUAGGGACACAUGAGUGUUUUUCAUAAACCAGAAGUGCAAAACUAGAGCAGAGUGCCUGGGUGGCAUUGGGCACUAGCUAUAUUUUACAAGGAAAGAGAGAAUGUGCCUGUUUCUCAUGGGCCAUAGUAAAGUAGGUGAGAGGCUCAGAACCAGUUCAAGUCCUCUACAAGAAGAUUGCCUGGAGAGGCAAGAUGAUGUCCCCAGCCCCACGAAGAGAGAAGGAACACAAGUGACAGGUUGAAACAAAGUACAUUGUUUCAAAACUCAUGAGAGCACUGGAGAAGCUUUCCAGCAGCAGUCCAAGAAAAGGAAGCAGCUCUAAUCACCAAACUCAGAAGAAUCUGCUAGAAACAUUGGUCAUUGACAGAGGUAACAGGAGCUCUAUUGUUAUCUCUCCUCUUUCAUGAACUUCUCCCCCACCACCUCAGCCUCAUGCCUCUCACCUCUGAAGGUGGGUCCCUUGAUUGCGUGUGAAGGAGGAUCAAUCUGGCCACCUUACAGGGAUAAAGGGAAGGCUAACCAUACCCUCCAUUCUUGCCUCAGACCUGCAAGUUCAAAGGGCCCAAAAGGGUGAGGGACACAGAAUGUAUUUUUUUUUUAAUUUAACUGACAAAUAAAUAGUGUAUACAUUCAA